rnacentral:rRNA from 1 species
GACAGAGGGUGCAAACGUUGUUCGGAAUUACUGGGCGUAAAGCGCGUGUAGGCGGCAUGACAAGUCGGAUGUGAAAGCCCUGGGCUCAACCCAGGAAGUGCAUUCGAUACUGCCGUGCUAGAGUCCCGGAGAGGGUGGUGGAACUCUCGGUGUAGAGGUGAAAUUCGUAGAUAUCGAGAAGAACACCGGUGGCGAAGGCGGCCACCUGGACGGUGACUGACGCUGAGACGCGAAAGCGUGGGGAGCAAAC